ACAGCAGGAUCCUCUCACAGCAAGGCUGCAAGCUCACAUUGGAAUACAGCUUAUCACACAAGGACACUGUAUUCUAGAAGCCAUUUCUUCUGUAGACUGUCCAGAACAUUGCUGUGCUGUGAUGUGAUGUGAAGCUCCCGACUUCCAAGGUUCUUCAAUUUGGGGACAUGCUUGGACCAUAAAUACCCCACAACAAUACCUGACCAGAGGAGAGAAAGGUUAGCCACCAUCCCAGCUUCAUGAACUCAAUGGACUACUUCUCUGAAAAAUUUAUAUGUAAUCCAAUAUCCAGAAGUUUUAAUAUGUCCAGCUUGUCCAACAACAGAGAACAUUCUAGGAAGAUAAUAAAGUUAAAAA